AGAGUUUGAUCCUGGCUCAGGAUGAACGCUGGCGGCGUGCCUAAUACAUGCAAGUCGAGCGAACAGAUGAGAAGCUUGCUUCUCUGAUGUUAGCGGCGGACGGGUGAGUAACACGUGGAUAACCUACCUAUAAGACUGGGAUAACUCCGGGAAACCGGGGCUAAUACCGGAUAAUAUUUUGAACCGCAUGGUUCAAUAGUGAAAGACGGUUUCGGCUGUCACUUAUAGAUGGACCCGCGCCGUAUUAGCUAGUUGGUAAGGUAACGGCUUACCAAGGCGACGAUACGUAGCCGACCUGAGAGGGUGAUCGGCCACACUGGAACUGAGACACGGUCCAGACUCCUACGGGAGGCAGCAGUAGGGAAUCUUCCGCAAUGGGCGAAAGCCUGACGGAGCAACGCCGCGUGAGUGAUGAAGGUCUUCGGAUCGUAAAACUCUGUUGUUAGGGAAGAACAAAUUUGUUAGUAACUGAACAAGUCUUGACGGUACCUAACCAGAAAGCCACGGCUAACUACGUGCCAACAGCCGCGGUAAUACAUAGGUGGCAAGCGUUUUCCAGAAUUAUUGGGCGUAAAG
rnacentral:rRNA from 1 species